rnacentral:rRNA from 1 species
AGAGUUUGAUCAUGGCUCAGAACGAACGCUGGCGGCAGGCUUAACACAUGCAAGUCGAACGCAUCCUUCGGGGUGAGUGGCAGACGGGUGAGUAACGCGUGGGAACGUGCCCUUCAGUUCGGGAUAACCCAGGGAAACUUGGGCUAAUACCGGAUACGUGCGAGAGCAGAAAGAUUUAUCGCUGAAGGAUCGGCCCGCGUCUGAUUAGCUAGUUGGUGGGGUAAUGGCCCACCAAGGCGACGAUCAGUAGCUGGUCUGAGAGGAUGAUCAGCCACAUUGGGACUGAGACACGGCCCAAACUCCUACGGGAGGCAGCAGUGGGGAAUAUUGGACAAUGGGCGCAAGCCUGAUCCAGCCAUGCCGCGUGAGUGAUGAAGGCCUUAGGGUUGUAAAGCUCUUUCGUCCGGGACGAUAAUGACGGUACCGGAAGAAGAAGCCCCGGCUAACUUCGUGCCAGCAGCCGCGGUAAUACGAAGGGGGCUAGCGUUGUUCGGAAUCACUGGGCGUAAAGGGCGCGUAGGCGGCUUUGUAAGUCGGGGGUGAAAGCCUGUGGCUCAACCACAGAAUUGCCUUCGAUACUGCAUGGCUUGAGACCGGAAGAGGUAAGUGGAACUGCGAGUGUAGAGGUGAAAUUCGUAGAUAUUCGCAAGAACACCAGUGGCGAAGGCGGCUUACUGGUCCGGUUCUGACGCUGAGGCGCGAAAGCGUGGGGAGCAAACAGGAUUAGAUACCCUAGUAGUCC